rnacentral:piRNA from 1 species
UCAAUGCACGAAUGGUCCCGAUUGAAUU